AUUAUGUGGCUUGUGUUCUGACCCAAAGCUAAAGACCCAUUUGCUUUCAGCACUGAGGAGCUGGCAGGCUCUGACUGCCAUCCCCUGCCCUUGCCAGAAGAGAGGGCCCCAUCUAUCACCUGGUGGGAGCUCUUGAAACCUACAAGUGGGAAGGGGGCAGCUCCAUCUCCACUCCCUCACAGGCAAGGGCAGCUAGUGGGUGACCUGGAGAAAGGCAAAAAAGCUCCUCACAGGGGCAAAUGGACUCUGUGCCCGCCACCCUGUGCCUAGAGGGAAGCACUGGAAGCAUCAAGGACGGUCACUGCCUACGCACAUGGCUCCCAAGCCCAGGGCCAGGCUGUGGCUGGCGGCUGGGAAGACAGAGAGCCCAUCUCACUGCAGAGGACGACCUUAGGGAGUCAGGUCCCAUGACUAGAGAAGUGAAGCAUCCACAAAAUGCCAGUGGCCACCUGCUGAGAAAUGAAGGGACAGGGAUCAUCCACUGGGGAGCCAGGGGAGAGGGGCACCUGCUAGGGAGCCAGGGUCAGGGGGACACCAGCGGUGGAGCCACACAGGGGAAAACCCAGGCCUGUGAGGAAGAGCAAAUGCAUCUGCUCUCGAGGUCCACAGUGGACACUGCCACGAGAGACUGACUUCCUGAGCUCAGGGAGGGGGCAGAGGACGGUCACCUGUCUGCAACAGACAGCAGACUCACUCUUGAUAUACCAGGAGCAGGUGACCAGCCCACAGCCACAGCCAGAGAGAACUGGGUGUGCCUGGCAGGAUUCACAGAGCCACCGCGGGCUCCGGGUGGGAUCCAUGACAGCUGAUGCACAGGGCUGUGUGACACCUUGUGUGACACCUCUAGCUCGUGGGCUUCAUCUCUCCUGCAGCCUCCACCCAUGACACCUGGAGAACCACCCUAGAAACCGUGACGCACAGUGUGGCGACACACAGGACAAGGCCGAGAGCGAGGUGGGCUGCAGACCUUCCCAUGCUGGGAGCCAUGCUGCCCUGCCCUCCUACAGGGACCACAGAAGACAGAAACGCCUCAGUGAGAAAUACCAAGGCCAACUGGAAAAUGACGCAGGAGCGGUUAGUGGGCGUGAGCUAGGAAUUAACAAGCACUGGUGCUGAGGCAGAAGCAAAGGGCCGCCCUUUCUAACAACAUAAAUAUCAGAUUAACUCUGGAAAUACAGUUCUGGAAUCUUGGCAUGAGACUUGUCUUGGCUGGUGGCAGUCAGUGGUGUGGCUCAAGCCAGGCUGGAGCUGAGCUUCUGCAGUUUGGCCCUGGAGCUGCCCUCCGCUCACCACCAGGAGAGGGGCAGGUUCUGAGGGACUGCUGGCCACCCUGCAGCCUGCGGUCACACCCAGCCUGGAUCCACUCAAAGUUAGUGCAUCUGCAAACCAACACCACGUGUGCCAGUUAGAACGAGAAUGCACGCUGGACGUCAGGAGAGGUGGUUGUCUCUCAGCCUUACUGUAUUAACAGCUGGGUGUUUGGGGCCAAAUUGUGUCCCGGAGACCCAUCUGUUGAGGCACUAGCCCCCAGAACCUCAGAACUCAACUGUGCUUGAAUUCCGGCUCUUUUAUGAUCCAGUGCAGUGUUAGAGUCCAAGGCCUGGUGCAUGCUGGGUAGGCACUGUGCCCCAGAGCUGUACCCCUGCCCUUAGGCAGGGCCUUUUCAGAGGUGAAGCCGUUAGACUGAGGCUUGGAGGGUGGGUGGGCCUUCACCCAAUCUGCCUGGAGUCCUAAGUGAGGAGGGACCAGGACACAUGGAGGCCCCAGAGAGACCCCAGGGAUGCACAUGACCUUUCACAGAAAAGAAAGCCAAGCCAGUCCCUGCCUCACAGAGCCUCUGUGGCCCCUCUGCAAGGACGCAGAGAGAAGGCGCCAUCUGUUGCAGGUUAAGAAGACAGAGCAGAACCAGCCAGCCCUGCCUCUGCUUCAACCUGGACCUCCAGAGCUGCAGGGGAACAAGUCUUGUUGCUUUAAGCCCCCAGUCUCCAUAUUUUGUUACAGCAGCCCCUGAAGACUAACGCACUGACCAUGUAACUUCUGUUCUCCUAAACCCCUGCCUUUUCUAAGCUGGUCUGAGGCAAGGCUGAGCAGCCCCAUCUCUUCAUCAUCUCUCAGGCAGGAACAAAGCGCAGAGCUCAGACCUCAGGUCUCAACUCAGGAGAAGAACCACAGGUCCUGAGAAUUCCACAGUCCAUCAUUUUUAGGGAACAGGUGAUCUGGGCCAGGCUGCUCUCAGGUCCUCCUCCAGGACUUACGCCAAGCUGGGACCAGGAUGCCUGUGGUCACAGACACAACCCACCCUCCACUUCCCCAGAGACUUCCUGAACCCACAACCCUGAGGCUCUCCACUGGCCCCACCGUGGGAAUGCUUGUCUUCCGGCAAAAGGGCCUCUGGUAGCUGAUGGAGCUGGAGAGAGUGCCACAGAGGGCCUGCAGGGGCCUGCAGUUGUGCUGGUCGCCAAGCCAGUCCCUGCCUCCCAGAGCCUCUGUGGCCCCUCUGCAAACUGCGAUGAGGGCAGUGUGUUCUGCUGCCUGUGGCUGUGGCUCAACACCUGCUCUGCUGCCCCCACCCUCCUGACAGCUGAGCAGCCCUCACAGAGCCUCUGCAGUGGGCCUGCGCCCUCCCCUGCUCAGCUGGCCACAAAGAGGACAGCCAGAGUGGCAUAGCUGCCACUCCUGCCCCUAAGCCCAGUGGCCAGUGCUCCCUACACGCCUCCUGGAGGCCUCCCAGCAUGCGCCCCCAAGGGCCACGCUGCAGACCUGGCACUAGUGUCAGAGACAGAGCAUCUGUCAGAAGUGCUGAUUGUCAGAGCUGGCCAUCCUCAGUGAUGAGUCCAGAUUGCUCAUCAUGCAGCCGGGCUGCUGACACGGGUCGUUCCAGCGCACUUCCUUAUUCCAGACGAGGUGGCAGUGCCACAUCACCAAUCGAGGUUGCUUUAAGCAAAGUCGUUUUCCCGUAAGCUCUGCUGAUGGCCUUCCCAUUAUUGCCUUUCAGAGGAGAGAUUUAGGAGGGCAGAAAAGACUAUGAAAAAGGAUAUUAGGUUUAGAUUGACCAUAACAAAAUUAUUAUAAGAGUCGAGCUAUCUGGUUUAUACUGUAUCGUUAACUACACAUUCCCCAAUACGCUGCUCAGUCGACCAGCAAAGCAAGUGUUCAUUGUAGAUUUCAAUCUUGGUGAGCAAUAAACUCAGUGUUUUGCAUAAA